rnacentral:rRNA from 1 species
AUCGGGCCAGCAUCGGUUCCGGCGACCAGACAAAGGCCCCGGGAACGUAGCUCUCUUCGGGGAGUGUUAUAGCCCGGGGUGCAAUGCGGCCAGCUGGGACCGAGGACCGCGCUUCUGCUAGGAUGCUGGCGAAAUGGUUGCCAGCGACCCGUCUUGAAACACGGACCAAGGAGUCGACCAACCGUGCGAGUGUUUGGGUGUCAAGCCCAUGCGCGCAAUGAAAGUAAACGGAGGUGGGAGCCCCAGGGCGCACCAUCGACCGAUCCUGAUGUCUUCGGAUGGAUUUGAGUAUGAGCCCGGCUGGUCGGACCCGAAAGAUGGUGAUCUAUACGUGAAUAGGUAUGUUUUAACUGCGAUUUUCUCAUCUAAUAUUGUAAUGCUAACUUUUGAAUAGGGUGAAGCCAGAGGAAACUCUGGUGGAGGCUCGCAGCGGUUCUGACGUGCAAAUCGAUCGUCAAAUUUGCGUAUAGGGGCGAAAGACUAAUCGAACCGUCUGGUAGCUGGUUCCUGUCGAAGUUUCCCUCAGGAUAGCAGUAGCGAGUAAACAGUCUCAUGAGGUAGAGCGAACGAUUAGAGGCCUUGGGGUUGAAACAACCUUAACCUAUUCUCGAACUUCGAAUAUGUGAGAAGUCCUUGUUGCUUAGUUGAACGCGGACAUUGGAUGGUCGUAUUUGUCC